AGAGUUUGAUCCUGGCUCAGGAUGAACGCUAGCGGCAGGCUUAACACAUGCAAGUCGAGGGGCAGCAUAAUGGAUAGCAAUAUCUAUGGUGGCGACCGGCGCACGGGUGCGUAACGCGUAUGCAACCUACCUUUAACAGGGGGAUAACACUGAGAAAUUGGUACUAAUACCCCAUAACAUCAUGAAAGGCAUCUUUUAUGGUUGAAAAUUCCGAUGGUUAGAGAUGGGCAUGCGUUGUAUUAGCUAGUUGGUGAGGUAACGGCUCACCAAGGCGACGAUACAUAGGGGGACUGAGAGGUUAACCCCCCACACUGGUACUGAGACACGGACCAGACUCCUACGGGAGGCAGCAGUGAGGAAUAUUGGUCAAUGGACGCAAGUCUGAACCAGCCAUGCCGCGUGCAGGAUGACGGCUCUAUGAGUUGUAAACUGCUUUUGUACUAGGGUAAACUCACCUACGUGUAGGUGACUGAAAGUAUAGUACGAAUAAGGAUCGGCUAACUCCGUGCCAGCAGCCGCGGUAAUACGGAGGAUUCAAGCGUUAUCCGGAUUUAUUGGGUUUAAAGGGUGCGUAGGCGGUUUGAUAAGUUAGAGGUGAAAUGUUAGGGCUCAACCCUGAAACUGCCUCUAAUACUGUUGGACUAGAGAGUAGUUGCGGUAGGCGGAAUGUAUGGUGUAGCGGUGAAAUGCUUAGAGAUCAUACAGAACACCGAUUGCGAAGGCAGCUUACCAAACUAUAUCUGACGUUGAGGCACGAAAGCGUGGGGAGCAAACAGGAUUAGAUACCCUGGUAGUCCACGCAGUAAACGAUGAUAACUCGUUGUCGGCGAUACACAGUCGGUGACUAAGCGAAAGCGAUAAGUUAUCCACCUGGGGAGUACGUUCGCAAGAAUGAAACUCAAAGGAAUUGACGGGGGCCCGCACAAGCGGAGGAACAUGUGGUUUAAUUCGAUGAUACGCGAGGAACCUUACCCGGGCUUGAAAGUUAGCGACGAUUCUUGAAAGAGGAUUUCCCUUCGGGGCGCGAAACUAGGUGCUGCAUGGUUGUCGUCAGCUCGUGCCGUGAGGUGUCGGGUUAAGUCCCAUAACGAGCGCAACCCCUACCGUUAGUUGCCAUCAGGUGAAGCUGGGCACUCUGGCGGGACUGCCG
rnacentral:rRNA from 1 species